CCUUCUCUUCAUUAAUUUUAUUCCUGAGCUCAUUUAACUAUCUUUCUGUCUUUUCUUGUAACUCUUUGAGUAUCUUCAUGACAGCCAUUUUGAAGUCUCUGUCAGUUAGAUUGCAAUCUUCCAUGACUUUAAGUUUGGUUUCUGGAAAAUUGUCAUUUUAUUUUUGUGAUACCAUGUUAUUGCAGUUUUCCAUGGUGCUUGAUGAGUUGUUCCUGUGCUGACACACUUGCGAUGAACACAUUUCUUACUUGGGUGUGGCUGCUGCAUGUGCCACUUGUGCUGCUGCUCCCAAGUUUUCUGAGUGUGCUGGCAUGUCCUCUGCUGGGGGCGCUAACUUUGUGCCAGUAUGAUUCCUGGAGCCUCAGGUCACAGGCACUGCUGCCACUGCUGUGGAGAUGGUGGUCUUGGAUGCAGUCUCUGCUCCUGGGAAGGCUGGAGUCAAGACACUGUCGCAGAGGGAGAGAGAGUGGGCUGAGUCACAGUAUAGGAUCCAGUCUAAGAUCUGGUGCUGCAUCUGAGUCAGGAAAGUAGCAUCUGUGCUCUAAGGAGAGGCUUUCAGGCAAGGAACUGCUAAAGGAGCCUUCCGCCAACAUCUUCUGAGAAACUGAGGCUUCAGGACAACAGCCUGCAGGGAACUGAAUCCUGACAACAAAACAGAUGGGUGAUCUUGCCAGCGCAUCCUUGCCAGUCAUGCCCCACUCCCAACAGGAGACGGCACCUGCAGCCAACGCCUUACUGGCAUCUAUGUGAGAUAUCCUGAAGUGGUGGAUCCACCUACGCCAUACCUGAAUGCUUGACUCACAGAAACUGUAAGAUAACAAAUGUGUAUUGUUUUAAGCUGAUAAACUUUGGGGUAAUUUGUUGCACAGUACUAGAUAACUAAU
rnacentral:lncRNA from 1 species